AUUGAACGCUGGCGGCAGGCUUAACACAUGCAAGUCGAGCGGGCGAGGUUGCUUCGGUAACUGAGCUAGCGGCGGACGGGUGAGUAAUGCUUAGGAAUCUGCCUAUUAGUGGGGGACAACAUUCCGAAAGGGAUGCUAAUACCGCAUACGUCCUACGGGAGAAAGCAGGGGCUCUUAAUGACCUUGCGCUAAUAGAUGAGCCUAAGUCGGAUUAGCUAGUUGGUGGGGUAAAGGCCUACCAAGGCGACGAUCUGUAGCGGGUCUGAGAGGAUGAGCCAACACACUGGGACUGCGACACGGCCCAGACUCCUACGGGAGGCAGCAGUGGGGAAUAUUGGACAAUGGGGGGAACCCUGAUCCAGCCAUGCCGCGUGUGUGAAGAAGGCCUUUUGGUUGUAAAGCACUUUAAGUGGGGAGGAGGCUUACCUGGUUAAUACCUGGGCUAAGUGGACGUUACCCACAGAAUAAGCACCGGCUAACUCUGUGCCAGCCGCCGCCGUAA
rnacentral:rRNA from 1 species